UGCGUAGGUGGUUCGUUGUGUCUGUGGUGAAAGCCCCGGGCUUAACCUGGGAAUGGCCAUGGAAACUGGCGAGCUGGAGUGUGGCAGAGGGGGGUGGAAUUCCGCGUGUAGCAGUGAAAUGCGUAGAGAUGCGGAGGAACACCGAUGGCGAAGGCAGCCCCCUGGGCUAACACUGACGCUGAGGCACGAAAGCGUGGGAGCAAACA
rnacentral:rRNA from 1 species